rnacentral:siRNA from 1 species
UGCGAUGAUGAUGUUGCUAA